rnacentral:rRNA from 1 species
UACAGAGGUCUCAAGCGUUGUUCGGAUUCAUUGGGCGUAAAGGGUGUGUAGGUGGCGCCGUAAGUCGGGUGUGAAAUUUCGGAGCUUAACUCCGAACUGCAUUCGAUACUGCGGUGCUUGAGGACUGGAGAGGAGACUGGAAUUUACGGUGUAGCAGUGAAAUGCGUAGAUAUCGUAAGGAAGGCCGGUGGCGAAAGCGAGCCUCUGGACAGUUACUGACGCUGAUGCACGAAGGCCAGGGGAGCAAACGGG